AGCGAACGCUGGCGGCAGGCCUAACACAUGCAAGUCGAACGAACCUUUCGGGGUUAGUGGCGGACGGGUGAGUAACACGUGGGAACGUGCCUUUAGGUUCGGAAUAACUCAGGGAAACUUGUGCUAAUACCGAAUGUGCCCUUCGGGGGAAAGAUUUAUCGCCUUUAGAGCGGCCCGCGUCUGAUUAGCUAGUUGGUUGAGGUAAUGGCUCACCAAGGCGACGAUCAGUAGCUGGUCUGAGAGGAUGAUCAGCCACAUUGGGACUGAGACACGGCCCAAAACCCCACGGGAGGGCGGAGGGGGGAAUCUUGCGCAAUGGGCGAAAGCCUGACGCAGCCAUGCCGCGUGAAUGAUGAAGGUCUUAGGAUUGUAAAAUUCUUUCACCGGGGACGAUAAUGACGGUACCCGGAGAAGAAGCCCCGGCUAACUUCGUG
rnacentral:rRNA from 1 species